GGUUCUAUAGUGUAGCGGUUAUCACACAGGAUUCUGAUUCCUGUAACCCCGGUUCGAUUCCGGGUAGGACCU
rnacentral:tRNA from 1 species